rnacentral:RNase_P_RNA from 1 species
CAUGUAUCGCGCCUUAUCGCUUCGUAAGAAGAGGAAAGUCCGGACAGCAUAGGGUGGUGUGCUUCCUAACAGGAAGGACUUACGCAAGUAGGGACAGCAAGUGCAGCAGAGAGUAGACCGCCUUCGGGUAAGGGUGAAAGGGUGAGGUAAGAGCUCACCGUGCUUUAGGUGACUAAAGUAGCAAGGUAAACCUCACGCGCUGAAAUGUCAUGUAUAUCGUGUUCCUUAGGGGCUAGGCGACCCGUCUAGAGUUUACUGCACGAGGGGUAGGCAGAUUGAUCCUAAUCGCGAGGUUAGGACUAGAUAAAUGAUAAGGGCCCGUAAGGGUACAGAAUCCGGCUUAUAGCGAGAUGUGAAAC